GCAAGUCGAACGAGAGAAGAAGAGCUUGCUUUUCUGAUCGAGUGGCGAACGGGUGAGUAACGCGUGAGGAACCUGCCUCAAAGAGGGGGACAACAGUUGGAAACGACUGCUAAUACCGCAUAAGCCCACGGGUCGGCAUCGACCUGAGGGAAAAGGAGUGAUCCGCUUUGAGAUGGCCUCGCGUCCGAUUAGCUAGUUGGUGAGGUAAUGGCCCACCAAGGCGACGAUCGGUAGCCGGACUGAGAGGUUGAAC
rnacentral:rRNA from 1 species